AAACUUUCAACAAUGGAUCUCUUGGUUCUGGCAUCAAUGAAGAAUGCAGUGAAAUGCGAUAAGUAAUGUGAAUUGCAGAAUUCAGUGAACCAUCAAAUCUUUGAAUGCACAUUGCACCCCCCAGCAUUCUGGGGGACAUGCCUGUCUGAGCGUCAUUG
rnacentral:rRNA from 1 species